rnacentral:misc_RNA from 1 species
AAGUCGUAACAAGGUUUCCGUAGGUGAACCUGCGGAAGGAUCAUUACUGAGAGAGGGCCUUCACGGUCCGACCUCCAACCCUUUGUUUACCUUACCACUGUUGCCUCGGCGGGUCGCCGGUGUCUUUUAGUUAAGAUUACCGCCGUCGGCCUCCGCGCUCUCGAGUGCCCGCCGCCAGGCCUCCAAAAACCCUUUAAUAAACCAGUAUUCUGAGAGUAAAUUAAAUACUUCAAAA